GCUUGUAGUCAGCUACUGCCAGCUCACUUCUGUUCUACUCUUCUUCUUUAUUUCCAUCUCUCACCUUCUCUCUCGCUCUCUCUGAUUGAUGGGAUGUGAGCUGUGGUAUGAGUUCGGACAAGCUUAAAGAUGUCAGCACCAGCAACAUUUUGGAAAAGCCAUGAACACCUUCUCACCGCCUCUUCUGACAGCGUCAGCGAGAAGACAGACUGAUGAGGAAUGAGACCAGGAAGAUGGAUGCAUGGGCAAGGAGAGCAGAACGAUGGAUGAAUCGGAAAGGUUUAAGCAGAUGCUGUCCCAAGAGCUGAGAAAGGACGCAAAAUAGCAGGAAGAAAGUUUGCCUGGGCGCCUUUGAACUCCCCGGGUCAGGGAAAUCACCACGAACGCACCAGACUCACCAGCAGAAACAUCCUCAGCAUCUCUCUGACCCACGGGUGAGACUGACGGACGCCGAUGAGCUCUUUAACUGAUGCCAGUCAGCAGAAGAACACAAUGCAGAAGCUACAGCUUUAGCUGAAAAUUGCCUGGAACUUCCAGGAGGAAUAUUUUAUGCUUGCUGUGCAGACAAUGGACAAAUGGCCGAGGAAAGCCAGAGCGACUCAGUGGGGAACCAGGAAAAUCUCCACACCAGCCUCCGGAUUUCAGACAAAGAGGCACAAAAGGUAAUUUUUUAUCUGCCGAGCAGCAUCUAAAAGGUAUCAAGCGGGAGCUGCUUUUCACGGCUGAGAGCGCAGAUGGAGUGCUGAAUCAAGCUGGGAUGAUCAUCAACAACACACCACUGCUCUUCUGCCUUUCAAACAGUCCGAGCGUAGCUUUUCACUAAGUUGGAUUUUCUUUCUCUUUUUUCUUUUUUUUUUUUUUUUUUUGGACUGAAUUAAUCUCUCUUCUAGCACGCUUCUUAAAAUGGGAUCCCGCACAAAGCUUAGCCUUCGCAUUUCUAGUUUUUCUUCCUUUUUUUUUAUGCAUUUUUCCAAAUUCCUGCUGCGGCGAUCAAUAGCGUUUGUCAUUUGUUCUCCUUGUUGGCUUGUCUUGCCACAUUUUCAGGAGGUCGGUAAAUUGGUCCUGACUAGAGUCAACCGGAAUCAUCAAAAGCAAAUCCCAUCAGAGGACAAUUUAUUGUUCUCCAGCUAGAAAACUCUUUUGCCGCUUAAUAUUGAAAAACAUUUCAAGACAGGCCAACGAAGCAUGAAUGUUACGAAUGAAAUACACUUAACCUCCCCAAAAAACACUUGAUGAGCACAAUUUUCUAUCCACGCGUUGACUUUUUUUUUUGCUUUCUUAAAAAAAGGAAGCCUAGACAAAAUAUAUCAAAUGGCUAAUGUCUUUAAAAUAAAGCUUACUUGUGGCUUUAGGAGGCGGGACAUUCUCGUUCAGGGAUCAUCUGAUUGGUCAAAAACUGUGUAACGCUGGAAGAGUCAUCGGUACGUUUUGCUUUGUAUCUCCAAAGGGACGACAGUACGUUUUAAAGGUGAUAAUGACAGGUAGCGGCUGAAAAAAAUUAGUUUUCCCGCCCCUUCCUCAGACUCGAUGCGGGUUGCCAGAUUGAAGAUGCACAGCACGAACAAAGCGCCACUGACAACGCAAGGUGACAAACCUUAUACCCUAAACUAAUGAGUUAAUUUAUCUGCUUUUUAAAAUACCUGUGGCCAUAGAACUUUUUGGAUGGAUACUAAGGAUAGGUUGGGUAGAAUUAAUCUUUAACCCAGUUCGUUUGCUCACUUCCAUGCCUGCGGUAACGCUUUCGAACUGGCAACCCGGGCUGUCUAAACUAUUACUUGGUAAACUGUGAGCGCGCGGAAUCACAGCAGACCAAAACAAAAACAGCUAUUCCAAUACAGAAAUCACAUUUUCAAAGCGAAUUAGCUGGUUUUAGCGCCGUUUUUCAAGUAACUUUCCUGAAUGUCUGCGAAUUAUGGCGUUUUUAGGCAUUUUGGUAGAAUCAAAAAACUUUUAAACGCUUGUCUGAUAAAAUUGGAUUUCGCCUAUUUUUUAUUACUCUAUUGAAAGCUAAACGAUAACUUUAAACAUUUUAUUAUGUUAUGAAAAAUGCUUUUUUAUUUUUAUUUGUUGCACAGGUAUGGUAAUAGUACAUAAUACAUUCACCAUAUUCAUGCACUGGGCUAUAUAAAGAACACAAAGCUAGGCUACUUCAAAACCAUUCUCAUUAUAUUUAGCAAACGCCAAUUAUUUUGUGACAUGGAUAUGUUAUAAUAAUAUGUUACCCUUGCUUUUGUUUUUUGUCAUUUUCAUUCAUCUCUCGCAGCCUUCAUCUUUCAACUCCACAGAACUGUAACCAGUUUCCAUUCAAACUCAGAAUUUAAUCGAGUUUCUGAAAUAUAUGGUGUAAGACUGUUGCUCAUUAAGCAGCGAUGAAGUGAGCAGAAAAUGACAAAACCCAUCAUGGUGUUAAUGUAAUAUAAUGAUUAUGUCUGUUUUGACCUCUUUUGACCCUGAACUUGUAAAGCGCUAUUUCUGCGCCGAUGUGGCUGAAUUUGGAGAAUAUGAACCUUUCUGUUGUUCCAGCAUAAUGAUGUUUAUAAACUUAAUUCUCCAUGUUAUUUAGCCGUUUUAAUGGUUCAUAAGGCAGGAAGGAGGCCAAGCUCAACUGGGCAACUGCUGACAUUGUGUGUGUGUGUGUGUGUGUGUGUGUGUGUGUAUGCAGCUCUGCUAUUAGACAGACAGAUGGCGCCAUCUAGUGACUAAAAAUCACAUGAAAGAAAACAAAAUGAUUCAAAACAACACAAUUAGAAUGAAAAGUACAGAAUGAAAGCCACUAUAUUGUUAGUAUAAAGAGUAGGAAGCCCCUUCACAAGAGAAAGAAAUGUUAUGUUUAUGCCCAAUUUUUAAUUACACUAAAGACUAGAACAUUAAUUAUAAUAAUGCAACAUUAGCGUUCUGGCAGCAAAAAAGAGAUAUAAAUAUUAAGCGCAGCAUAGAUUAUAUUUUGAGUAAAUUAUCACUCAACAGAGACGAUUCCCCUUAACGAUAACUUAACUAUGCAAUUAUUUACAAAAUAUUUAGUAUAAAAAUUACAAUCAUCUUUGAUGAAACUACUUGUCAUGAUUAAAAAAAAUAACAUGCUGGUUAAAUAUGUUUUGAAGCUGGGAUGUUGGUUUAAGCUGCAGACCAGCGAAGGAUCCAGCUUCAAAACAUACCUAAUAAGAAUAUGCCGUUUUUGUUCGAUUUGAGCGAAAAGGAGAUUACUUUUUUAUGUAAAAGACUCAAGAAAACAACAAGGGUGAAAAUAGAGAAGAGAAUUUAAUUACAAAAGAUCCCAAAUCACAUUCAAUCAAACGGAAUUACAAAAAGGGAAUGAAUGAAAGGCACACUUCAGGAAUCAUUGAAAUUAUGUACAUUAAAUAUCGAUACAGUGACACUUCAUGCAUUGCUGUCAAAAAUCAGUGAGUGUACUUGAAAAAAAUACCAUGUUAUCGACGCGCACACACACACACACACACACACACACACACACAC